CAGCCUGUACAGUCACAUUGCAGGAAUGUGGCUCUUGCAUGCAAUCUCUCCACUUCAUUGAUAGGUCCCUAACAACUUUGCAGCCUGUGAGCCAUGAGCAGCUGUGUACUGCUGAUGUUCAACAAACUCAGUGCCAGAAGAAUGUGCAGUCUGUCUCAAAGGAUUCUGGAGCUGCUCAGGGAUGGAAAUGGAGAGGUGGUCAUCAAGAGCCUCCAUGUGUUCAUGAAUGUACUCCAGCACAAAGACAUCCUGGUAUCCAGCACCACUGCCCCAAAGCUGACUGAGGCACUCCGGGUGCUCUUUGACCACGUAAGGUUCUGCAUCCUGAGCCACAGGCAUCGGGUGCUUCCCAGAAACUUGGUGCCCUGUGGAUUUUCAGGCCUUUGC
rnacentral:lncRNA from 1 species